AGUUUGACGUCCGUGGACUCGAGGACGAACGCUGGCGGCGCGCCUAACACAUGCAAGUCGAACGAACGAGAGAGAGCUUGCUUUCUCGAGCGAGUGGCGAACGGGUGAGUAACGCGUGAGGAACCUGCCUCAAAGAGGGGGACAACAGUUGGAAACGACUGCUAAUACCGCAUAAGCCCACGGUGCCGCAUGGCACAGAGGGAAAAGGAGUAAUCCGCUUUGAGAUGGCCUCGCGUCCGAUUAGCUAGUUGGUGAGGUAACGGCCCACCAAGGCGACGAUCAGUAGCCGGACUGAGAGGUUGAACGGCCACAUUGGGACUGAGAUACGGCCCAGACUCCUACGGGAGGCAGCAGUGGGGAAUAUUGCACAAUGGGGGAAACCCUGAUGCAGCAACGCCGCGUGAAGGAUGACGGUUUUCGGAUUGUAAACUUCUUUUCUUAGUGACGAAGACAGUGACGGUAGCUAAGGAAUAAGCAUCGGCUAACUACGUG
rnacentral:rRNA from 1 species